UCGAUGCUUUGGGUUUGAAGCGGAGCUCCUAUCAUUCCAAUGAAGGGUCGUUCCGAAGGGCUGGUUCCGCUGCUCGUUCAUGGUUCCCACUAUCCUAUCUCAUCAUGUGUAUAUAUGUAAUCCAUGGGGGAGGGUUUCUCUCGUCUUUGAGAUAGGCUUGUGGUUUGCAUGACCGAGGAGCUGCACCGCCCCCUUGCUGGCCGCUCUUUGGAUUGAAGGGAGCUCUGCAUCCUGAUCCACCCCUCC
rnacentral:pre_miRNA from 1 species